GAGAUGAGACAGCCGAGCCGGACCUUGGAGCCCUGACGUGACCCGCGGGGGCUUCGAACGUGGGGGCGUGGGCGUCCUGACCUCACCGGGACGCGCCGCGCGCCGGCCAGCCCGGGAGGAAUAAAUUGCCAAAACUAUGCCGUUGGGUGCUAAAAUUUGGUUUUUGGCCCGCGGCACGCCCACCGAACCGACGCUGACGCACCCAUCCCUCGCCCGUUUCCACUCGACAGCGAAAGCAAGAAGAUGGCAUGACCAUCAAGCCCCCAAAGCGCGCGCGCACCGCCUACCUGGUGUUCUGCGACAGGUACCGCGAGCAGAUCAUGCGCGCGGUGCACCCCCAGCCCAACGCCAAGUUCACCCGCGAGGAGAUGCAGGCGGUGACCACGAAGCUCGCGGAGCUGUGGAAGAACAUCAGCCCGAACGAGCUCAAGGAGUGCAAGGCCGAGGCUGACAUCCUCAAGGGCCAGUACGAGGCCGAGAAGGCCAAGUUCCCCGCCGGCUCCCUGAAGCGCCACCACAAGAAGGGCAAGAAGGCGAAGAACCAGACCAUCCUCGUCGAGGGCCAGGGCGAGAAGCCCAAGCGCGCGCGCACGGCGUACCUCAUCUUCUGCGACAAGUACAGGAACCAGAUCAUGAAGGAGGUGCACUCUAACCCCAACACCAAGUUCACCCGCGAGGAGAUGCAGCAGGUCACCACC
rnacentral:lncRNA from 1 species